AUGUACAUGCCUACAACAUAGAGUUAAUGCACCAGAUCCCAUUAGAACUCUGUAGUUAAGCAUGGUCAGGCUAGAGUAGUACUGGGAUGGAGGCUAGAGUAGUACUGGGAUGGGUGACCGCCUGGGAAGUCCUAGUGUUUUACAUG
rfam:Picea glauca, whole genome shotgun sequence.